UCACGUUGUUAUAUUGUUUAAAGGGGACAAUCAUCUUUACUUUGGACUUCCAGUCUGGAUGGUCGGACACCAAAAGCCAGUCUUGUAAGGCAGUCAACCUCGUCGAGUGUUUGCCGCCGCUGGUAUUUACCGAGUGGAUGACAGUAGUCGUGUCUCUUCGCGCGGAUCGACACGAUCUACAGAUCGACUAACAGAGGGACGUUACGCAGGGACAGGAGGAAAGGAAGGUCGUAGAAAGCCGAGACAGGACAAUGCAACGGCGAGGGCUGCCGAGGGCCCUAUGGGUCCAUGGUGCACGGCUUCGUGGCUUCGUGUCCGCAGGGCGCGAUGUUUAUCGGCUCUUUCGAUGUAAAUUAUGGCCAUACGCUAUACAGUUCGCUACACCACAGCGCGCAAAAGUAUCCGGGCCCCAAGUUCCAGGGCCGGACCCACGCUUCCGCAGGUAGGUUUCUAAUAAGUCUCUGGCCGUGUCGCAUCGAUUACCUCGUCACUUAGGACGCAAAUCGUAAACGAAAAGGGGUGUAUCGAAUUUCGAAAUUCGCGAAACCGGAACUUUUAAUUUAUGCAAUGAACGGGAAAUUACCCUCUAGUGUCGCAAAAGAUCAUAAGCAGGAUAACAAUGAACGUAAAUAAUCAAAUAAGCAAUACAAUAAUCCAAAUCGCAAACUCCAGAACCGAAAAGUUCAAAAUCGAGUGAAAGCAGGAUAAAGAAAAAAGGCAUUAUGCCAACCAAAUAUUCUGAUUAAAGUCGUUAAAAAAGACAAAUAAAUUCCAUUGCACACAAAGAAUAUUCGUAUUACAGCCCAAUAAAAUUAAUUAAACGCAUGUAACUUAAACUUAAUAAACGCAUAUCAAGACAACUAAAUUCAAUUGCACACAAAGAAUAAAGAUACAGCCUAAUAAAAUUAAUUAAACGCAUGUAACUUAAACUUAAUAAACGCAUAUAGCAAGUAAAAAAGUCCAAGAACGCAAUAGAACAUUAAGGCAAGACAGAUGCAAAUACGAACGCAACGUAUGCAAAAUAAAAAUAAGCUAAAGUAAAUACAAACCCUGAUACAAACGCAAGGCAUAAAGGCAUAAUCACAAUAACCUAGCCGCAUGUAACAGUGUAUAAGUAUGCAAGGUAUAAAGAUAUAAUCAUAAUAACCUAACCGGAUGUAAUAGUAUAAAAGUAUACAAAAUUCAAUAUUGCACAAGAAUAAAUAAAAUUGUGCAAAAUUCAAUAUCGAGCAAGAAAAAAUAAAAGUAUACAAAAUUCAAUAUUGAGCAAGAAUAAAUAAAAACUCACACAAAGACAUAAUCAUAAUAACUUAGCCGCAUGUAACAAUAUACAAGAAUACAAAA